rnacentral:tRNA from 1 species
AUAGAUAAAGCAAAAAUAUGCGCUUGACUUAGAAUCAAGAAUUUGUAAACUAUCAUCUUACUAUCUAAA